GCCUGGUGGUAGGGAUGGGAGAGGUGGGGAAGGAUUACAAAGAGCAUGAAGAAAUUUCAGGCUGAUGUCUGUGUUCGUUAUCUUGAUUGUGGUGGUGGGUUGGGAUGUAUACUUACAUCAAAACUCAUCAAAUUAUGAAAUUUGUGCAGCUUGUUGUAUAUCAAUUAUACAACAUAUACAAUACAAUGUAUAUCAAUGCAACUAUAAAAAAAAUACUGAUGUCUGGAUCUCAGGCUCCAAGAUUCUGAUUUAAUUGGUGUGGGCAUCAGUAUUGAUUAAAAACUUCCUAUAGGAUUAUGUUGUACAGCCAGAGUUGGUUCCAUGAUUCUAGGUCAUUACAUUUGCCCUGGGCCAGGUACUUUGGGACAGCCCUUCCCCACUUUGUGGACUAGAAUAGAAGGGGAUGGUCCCACAAUACAAAGGGAUGCAAAGUGCUCAGAUCCCUUGCCUCAGUACCCAGGCAUCAGGCCUGGCCACCUGGAAGCUGGAGCUACUUUGACCAAUCACAGAACAGAAGCAUCUCUCCACCCUCAACGUUUAUCUAUCUACUCCAGCCAGCCUGAUGCCUUCUUGUGACUUCACUUUCUUUUCAAAGCUGCCUUCAGUGAGCGUGUUGAUGAUAUUUAAAGCAGAUAAAGAUGUUCGUUGGAAGGAUUUGCAUGUGUAGAGACAGUGUGACUUACCCCAGUCAGUUGCCUCCUAGUAACACUUGUUGGUAAACCAUGGGCUUGCUAAGAAGCUGAUACCAGAUGCUUAGGCUUCAGAGGUAAGGGAGCAACUGUGGAUCCAGAAUCCCAGGAAGUGUAAGAGAAAUGCUCCCCAAUCUGCUGCUCCCAGUGAUGGCAGCACAACUUGACCAGAAGUGUUGACCAGGGAACAUGGCAGCUGAGAACUCCAACUAGGAGUUCCAACUCAUUUUGCCAAAGCUCUUUCUACUUAGCCUGGAGACACGGUGAGAAAGAUAUUCCUUCAAAUUCCAUUCUGUUUUUUGAAAACAAAGCACACAGAUCCUCAAGCUGGACUUCUUGCAUCAUCGAGAGGUAGACACAAGACCAGAAUUUGGCAGUGUCCUCCUCCUUAAAGAGCAACCAGCAGCACAGAGAGCAUUUCUAGAAGUUGGCUAUAAAGACCGUUGAAAUCAACAAGAUUCCACAUUUCAUGAGCAAUAACAUGGGAUCAUACGAAUGCAAAUUCUAUCUGACCCUUCAUAACAACAAGGAGUUGGGGCCCUAAUGAUGAACAAGACCGAGGCACCAUCCUCAGAGAGCCUGCAGUCUGGUGCUCAAGUGCAGGCAAAUCCGCCUUCCUUGAUAAGGGUUAGCAUGAGCAGAGAUGGGUAAGUGG
rnacentral:lncRNA from 1 species